rnacentral:rRNA from 1 species
GACAGAGGUCCCGAGCGUUAGGCGGAAUCACUGGGCUUAAAGCGUGUGUAGGCGGAGUUCUAAGUACCUUGUGAAAUCCCACGGCUCAACCGUGGAACUGCUUGGUAUACUGGUUCUCUUGGGCCACCUAGGGCAAGCGGAACAAGUGGUGGAGCGGUGAAAUGCGUAGAUAUCAUGAGACGCCAAUGGUGAAAACAGGUAUCUGGGGGCUGCGCUCUGAGACACGAAAGCCAGGGGAGCGAACGGGG